AACACGAGAUGAAUUGGGAGGAAGCUCAGAUGUAGGUUUGAACUGGGGCCUUGAGCAUUCCCCUAUGCCUCACUGCCUCAAGCUCGUGAGAAACUUUGGCAUAAAUCCAGAUAGGAGGUCAUUGGUUGGUUCCUUUGAAGAGUCCCUCUUAUCCGGCCGGCUCUUGUCUGGCAAAUUCAGUCAGAGAAUUGAUGGUUUUCUUGCUGUGCUAAAUGUCACCGG
rnacentral:misc_RNA from 1 species